AAAAAAAAAAAAAAAAAUCAAAGGCAUUUGUAUAGGCAAAGUGUCUCAUUGGCAAUAUGUUCUUUUUAAUUACUUGUUUGCAAAACCAUAAAUGAUGGAAGGUUGAUCUCUUGAAUCUUUCUUUGUUCGUUAUUGGUACUGCUUUUGCACAAUUGUUAACUUUUUUCAACUUAGCUAAUCAUUGGAUUUGUUUUAUUUAUCUUUCAUUUGGGUCAUAUACUUUGUCUGCUCCAUUAUGUGUUUCUAAACACAUUUAACACUGGAAGUAAAUGGCACUAAAUUGUCACAAGGGCUGACACAUUGGAAUAUUGCAUUGGAGCUUCGAAAUUUGGCAGGUAUCAUGUGAAAUAAGUGUGGACAGUUGCAUCUGCAUUUGGGUUCAAGCAGUUCUGCAACGAAGUAUUUAUACUUUUGGUGUGUGUCACAGGGAGAGGGAUUUCCUUUAGUGGGUUGACUUCUUUGAAGGGAUAGCCAAAGGGUAACUAGACUAAAUAAUUCUACAGCCAGAUAUGUUAGAUGGAUGACAUUGUUGAUUUGGAACUUUGGCUGUGUCAAUUCCAACAUUGAUGAUGUUAUGAUUGUAAAUUAUACUGGUUUAGAAAGAAGGAUUUUAACCCAAACCGUCAACUCUCCAGGAAACUUUCUUUACAAUUACUUAAAAGUCAUGCUGAUCUGCUUUCUAUCCCAUAUCUAUGCAGAACUUGACCAAUAUACAUGGUGUGAACAGUGUUGCCAUUUUGCUUAAUCCUAGUCUGCAUUUUAUAUCUAUACAACCUGAUCUAACCCAAAUAACUUUUUGUUGACCAUAUUUAGGAGAGACUGGAAGAUAUUCAAAA
rnacentral:misc_RNA from 1 species